AACGCACAUUGCGCCCGCUGGUAUUCCGGCGGGCAUGCCUGUUCGAGCGUCAUUUCAACCCUCAAGCCCCCGGGUUUGGUGUUGGGGAUCGGCUCUGCCUUCUGGCGGUGCCGCCCCCGAAAUACAUUGGCGGUCUCGCUGCAGCCUCCAUUGCGUAGUAGCUAACACCUCGCAACUGGAACGCGGCGCGGCCAUGCCGUAAAACCCCAACUUCUGAAUGUUGACCUCGGAUCAGGUAGGAAUACCCGCUGAACUUAAG
rnacentral:misc_RNA from 1 species